rnacentral:lncRNA from 1 species
AAAGUUUUCAAAGUUUAAAGACCGAUUUUCAACUGUUAGGAAAAUUCUUUUGGAAAGAAUUUGACCAGAUUUCGACAGAUGUAUUUACACCUAUACACAAAUUUGUAUGCCAUACGUGAAAUCUCACAAGUUCUCAUAAAAUUUGACAUCACAAUUAAAAAUUGAUUGUAGCUUGAUGUCAGAAGGUUAUGCAGAGCAAAUGUAAUACCCCAUUCCAACUAACCCUUUUUUAAACCUGAAUUAGUUAAUCUGGGUUAAAUUUAGGUAGUGUGAAUGCCUUAACCUGGGGCAAACCCAGAUUAAAAUUACCGCUCAUAGGAGGUGGAGUUAAUGUGUGGCAAAUACUGGUUAACUACCUUACUUUUAAAUUUGAACAUGAAGUAAAAUUAAUGUGGGGUUGUUGCUAUAGUGAAAUAUGAUGUUUGUGAACAUUUAUAUAAGUCUUCAAUGUAAUUAUUACAUGUCGUCAUAUUUCGAAUGAAGUCAUAUUUCGACAGUCAUUCAGUUACUGUAUUUAUCGGGUCAUUUACAACUAAAGGUCACCGUACAGGAAUUUUACAACCCAUAUUAUAUAAGUGGCAGCUGGAGGGAUAUGUGUGUAUUAAUCUAUGUUAAAAAACACAAUUGCAAAUGAUGAAACCUAAAUAUCAUUUCCGUCGCUGUUAGGGUCGAAAAAUGAGUACAAUUUGGAUAAAGUGGUUGAUGAUGAUACAACUCCUUCAAAGCGGCCAGGAGUGCGGUAAAAAUUUUCUGACAUUAAAAUAACGCAUCUGUGAUAAAACAAAAAUAUGUACAUGUACAGUGGACACAGGUGGGUUACAAUUUUGGCGCUAACAUUUUUAUUUUUGUUGAAAAGGAAAAUCCCAAACCGGGUUAAUUUUUUAUCAAGUGUGAACUUGGGUUAUUAAUUCAGGUUAAUUAACCCAGGAUCAACCCCAUACAUAUUUUAUAGUGUGAACACGGUGUAAGGUUAUUCAGAGACAAAAUUCAGCUAAAUACUAAAGUGUAAGUUCUUUUAUAUAUAGGUGCUGGGACUUGAUACACAGUCACUAUUUAUAUUCACAUAAGGUAGGGGUUCUGCGUUACUGGGAAAAUCUUAUCUGAAUCAGGAUCUAAUUGGCCACAACUUACUUUAGUACUGUAAUCUCAUAGCCUUACCUCAGACUGUUUAAUAACUCAACUUCUCUGGUAGAACUACUACCUUAAAUUAGAUAAGAACAUAUGUGCCAAAAAUAACUUGUCUAACCCUUUGGAAUUUAUCAAGGUCUUAAGGACUAUAUAUAUAUAUAUAUAUAUAUACAGUGUAUAUUUUUAAAUUGUCUCAGUAGUGUCCUCUUUUUUGGUCCUUAUCAAGACGAGGUUUAAUAAGGACCCUAUUGGGCCUAAUAGUUGAUGUAUAACUAGUCUUUACUAUAAGUUUAAACUAUAUCUUUGAAAUUAUUAUUAUGGAAAUUUACAAUGAUUUGAUGUAUAAUAAUAAUAAAUGCAUAAAUUCGCACCAUAUUAUUUUGUUUAUACUUUCUAAUUAGUCUAUUUAAAUUAGAUUCCAUUCGGAGUUUUUGUUUUAUUGUUAACAAUAAACCUUUAUUACAUUUAUUUAACAUUUAACUAUAUAAAACACAAGAGAAUACAUUUCAAAUAUCUUAAAAACUGCCUUAUUACUAUUGCUUAAUCAAAUUAAAAAAAUGGGGUAAGAUUACCAAUGAGACAACUUUCCACCAGAGACUAAAUGACGUAGAAGCUGGCAACUAUAAGUGUCUAUUCAGACGGCAACAAACAACAACCACUGAUUUACUGAAAUGGAACAGAAUGUGGCAGUGUUAAACAUUUGUGAGAGCCCAACCCUCCCCUACCUCGGACAAUGAUGUGACAGCACAACAUAAGAACUCA